rnacentral:sRNA from 1 species
CUUGGUCAUUUAGAGGAAGUAAAAGUCGUAACAAGGUUUCCGUAGGUGAACCUGCGGAAGGAUCAUUAUUGAAUAAACUUGGUCAAGCUGUUGCUGGUCCUUCGGGGCAUGUGCACGCUUGCCACCAAAUUUAACCACCUGUGCACCUUUUGUAGACUAGAAACGUUUCUCGAGGCAACUCGGAUUGAGAAUUGCUGCGCGAAAGCCAGCUGUUCUUGUGUUUCUCAGUCUAUGUUUUUACAUACCCCGAAUGAAUGUAUUAGAAUGUAUUGCUGGGCCUUUGUGCCUUUAAAUCAAAUACAACUUUCAACAACGGAUCUCUUGGCUCUCGCAUCGAUGAAGAACGCAGCGAAAUGCGAUAAGUAAUGUGAAUUGCAGAAUUCAGUGAAUCAUCGAAUCUUUGAACGCACCUUGCGCUCCUUGGUAUUCCGAGGAGCAUGCCUGUUUGAGUGUCAUUAAAUUCUCAACUAUACAAGUUUUUAUUAACCUGUAUGGCUUGGAUCAUGGGGUUUGCGGGCUUCCUGAGUCGGCUAUUCUUAAAUGCAUUAGCAGAGCUUUUGCCGCUAAUCUAUGGUGUGAUAAUUAUCUACGCCAUUGAGAAGUGACAUGUUGAGGCUUCGCUUCUAAUCGUCUUCACAGACAACAUUUGACAAUCUGACCUCAAAUCAGGUAGGAUUACCCGCUGAACUUAAGCAUAUCAAUAAGCGGAGGAAAAGAAACUAACAAGGAUUCCCCUAGUAACUGCGAGUGAAGCGGGAAAAGCUCAAAUUUAAAAUCUGGUAGUCUUUGGCUGCCCGAGUUGUAAUCUAGAGAAGCGUUAUCCGCGCUGGACCGUGUAUAAGUCUCCUGGAAUGGAGCGUCAUAGAGGGUGAGAAUCCCGUCUUUGACACGGACUACCAGGGCUUUGUGAUGCGCUCUCAAAGAGUCGAGUUGUUUGGGAAU